rnacentral:rRNA from 1 species
GAUGAACGCUGGCGGCGUGCUUAACACAUGCAAGUCGAACGGUGAACGAGGGAGCUUGCUCCCUCCGGAUCAGUGGCGAACGGGUGAGUAACACGUGAGCAAUCUGCCCUGGACUCUGGGAUAAGCGUUGGAAACGACGUCUAAUACCGGAUACGAGGCGUGGGGGCAUCCCCAACGCCUGGAAAGAACUUCGGUCCAGGAUGAGCUCGCGGCCUAUCAGGUAGUUGGUGAGGUAACGGCUCACCAAGCCGACGACGGGUAGCCGGCCGGAGAGGGUGACCGGCCACACUGGGACUGAGACACGGCCCGGACUCCUACGGGAGGCAGCAGUGGGGAAUAUUGCACAAUGGGCGCAAGCCUGAGGCAGCAACGCCGCGUGAGGGACGACGGCCUUCGGGUUGUAAACCUCUUUUAGCAGGGAAGAAGCGAAAGUGACGGUACCUGCAGAAAAAGCACCGGCUAACUACGUGCCAGCCGCCGCCGUAACAC